GAGCCUUUCAGCUUAGUUGGAAAAGCUUCCACCUUUCGAUCUAAAGGUCUCUGGUUCGAAACCGGAGUAGCACG